rnacentral:misc_RNA from 1 species
UGUGAACUUUUGUGUAAUUUUGUCAAAUUUGCAGAUCGCUAUCUGACAUUGCUUUCCAGCUUCUAUCAAUUUUGAGUUUGUUGGCAUACAGUGAACAAGUUUUGGAAUACUCUAUGGCUGUAAACUAAGUCUUUUAUUAUGAUAAACCAUUGCAAGGCAGCUAAUGACAUUUUAAGCAAUAGCAUUUAGAUGAACAUAAAUAUUUAACUCUUACGUCAAAGUCGAUUGCUUACUUAACAUAACAAGAAUUACUUUCUUUUUAUAAUGCACGUCAAACGGUUAAUCAUAUUAUUCUACAGAGUUUUGUAAAUAACGUUUAUGAUGAAAUCCGCGUUUGCAAUAUUGUUGAACAGAAAGUUUUCUGUAUCAAAGUAUCGUGUACUUAAAUUAUUCUACCUCAUCCUAUUACGUACAUGAAUUUGAUGUAUUUAUUUGUAAUGUUUGUUGAUUCAUUAAAACUAUCGCUGAUUGAUUGCAUUAUGUAUUUUGAUACUGCUUCAUUAAAGUUCUUGUAAUAUCAACAAUC